rnacentral:lncRNA from 1 species
CUCACCACAGGCGUGGCUCAGGAGACAGAGGGGCUAAGAGGGAUGGGGGGAAGGUGGGCACUGUGGUCCUUGAGCGCUGCCUGCAGCCCGAGUAAAAACAGACGCCCCCUCUGCCCCUGCCACCUGCGAGGGGGCGGCCGUGACGGUGGCUACAGUGACGGGGAUGUGCCCGGAGGAGCAUCCGGCAGGGCCCGAGUUGCCAUGGAGAUGCUGACUCAGAGGCAGAGGCAGGUAGCGCAUCUGGUACCCAGCCGGCCCACCCCUGUGCUCAAGGCACCCUGCCCAACCUCACCCCGCAGCCUCCACUCCAGGGACAUCUUCUGAGAUGGAGAAAUAGUCCAAUGUGUCCAUGAUCUGAGGAAGGGUACACGAAACGUGGGCCAUCCACACAACGGAACAACACUCAGCCACAAACAGGAUGAGGCCCCGACCCGCGCCGCCACACGGUUGGCCCUCAAAAGCCUCGUGCUGAGGGGAGAAGCCAGCCCAGAGGGCACAGCGUGUGAGCCCGUCUGUCUGAAGCGUCCAGAACAGGCACACCUGCAGCGACAGAAGCAGACUGGAUAUUAGGGAAAAACUAAGGAAACUGAAGAAAGUAUGGAGUUUAGUUAUUAACGGCCAGCUGGCUGC